rnacentral:rRNA from 1 species
AGACCCGAAACCCGGUGAUCUAGCCAUGGGCAGGUUGAAGGUUGGGUAACACUAACUGGAGGACCGAACCGACUAAUGUUGAAAAAUUAGCGGAUGACCUGUGGCUGGGGGUGAAAGGCCAAUCAAACCGGGAGAUAGCUGGUUCUCCCCGAAAGCUAUUUAGGUAGCGCCUCGUGAAUUCAUCUCCGGGGGUAGAGCACUGUUUCGGCUAGGGGGCCAUCCCGGCUUACCAACCCGAUGCAAACUGCGAAUACCGGAGAAUGUUAUCACGGGAGACACACGGCGGGUGCUAACGUCCGUCGUGAAGAGGGAAACAACCCAGACCGCCAGCUAAGGUCCCAAAGUCAUGGUUAAGUGGGAAACGAUGUGGGAAGGCCCAGACAGCCAGGAUGUUGGCUUAGAAGCAGCCAUCAUUUAAAGAAAGCGUAAUAGCUCACUGGUCGAGUCGGCCUGCGCGGAAGAUGUAACGGGGCUAAACCAUGCACCGAAGCUGCGGCAGCGAACGUAUCACCCAAGACAACUUUACGGAGUUGACGAUUGACGGAGCGAAGCGACGUCAAAGCGUUCAUUAAAGUCGAGUUGGCUUAGGGAUACGUUCGUUGGGUAGGGGAGCGUUCUGUAAGCCUGCGAAGGUGGCCUGUGAGGGUUGCUGGAGGUAUCAGAAGUGCGAAUGCUGACAUAAGUAAC